GACGAACGCUGGCGGCGUGCUUAACACAUGCAAGUCGAACGGAAAGGCCUGCUUUCCCUUGUGGCUUGCGGGUACUCGAGUGGCGAACGGGUGAGUAACACGUGAGUGAUCUGCCCCCAACUUGGGUAUAAGCCUGGGAAACUGGGUCUAAUUCCCGAUAGGACUGCAGGGUGGGGCAGUUGGUGGAAACGAGUUUUCCAGGGGUCGGGGUUGCGCGUGGGGCUUAUAAGGUGGUUGGGGGGCUAUUGGCCUACCAAGGCGGGAACGGGAGGCCGCCCAGGGGGGGUGGACGGCCAAAUUGGGACGGGGAUACGGCCCAGACUCCUACGGGGGGCGGCAGGAGGGAAUAUUGCACAAUGGGCGGAAGCCUGACGCAGCGACGCGGCGUGGGGGAUGACGGCCUUCGGGUUGUAAACUCCUUUCGACCGCGAGGAAGCCACCUGGUUGGAAGGUUGGUGACGGUAGUGGUAGAAGAAGCACCGGCUAACUACGUG
rnacentral:rRNA from 1 species